rnacentral:rRNA from 1 species
ACGGUCCAGACUCCUACGGGAGGCAGCAGUGGGGAAUUUUGGACAAUGGGGGCAGCCCUGAUCCAGCAAUGCCGCGUGAGUGAAGAAGGCCUUCGGGUUGUAAAGCUCUUUUGUCAGGGAAGAAACGGGUUCGGAUAAUACCUGGGCCUAAUGACGGUACCUGAAGAAUAAGCACCGGCUAACUACGUGCCAGCAGCCGCGGUAAUACGUAGGGUGCAAGCGUUAAUCGGAAUUACUGGGCGUAAAGCGUGCGCAGGCGGUUUUAUAAGUUUGUCGUGAAAGCCCCGGGCUCAACCUGGGAAUGGCGAUGAAGACUGUAAGGCUAGAGUGUGUCAGAGGGGGGUAGAAUUCCACGUGUAGCAGUGAAAUGCGUAGAUAUGUGGAGGAACACCGAUGGCGAAGGCAGCCCCCUGGGAUAACACUGACGCUCAUGCACGAAAGCGUGGGGAGCAAACAGGAUUAGAUACCCUGGUAGUCCACGCCCUAAACGAUGUCUACUAGUUGUCGGGUCUUAAUUGACUUGGUAACGCAGCUAACGCGUGAAGUAGACCGCCUGGGGAGUACGGUCGCAAGAUUAAAACUCAAAGGAAUUGACGGAA